rnacentral:rRNA from 1 species
AGUGAACGCUGGCGGUAGGCCUAACACAUGCAAGUCGAACGGCAGCACAGUAAGAGCUUGCUCUUACGGGUGGCGAGUGGCGGACGGGUGAGGAAUACAUCGGAAUCUACUUUUUCGUGGGGGAUAACGUAGGGAAACUUACGCUAAUACCGCAUACGACCUACGGGUGAAAGCAGGGGAUCUUCGGACCUUGCGCGAUUGAAUGAGCCGAUGUCGGAUUAGCUAGUUGGCGGGGUAAAGGCCCACCAAGGCGACGAUCCGUAGCUGGUCUGAGAGGAUGAUCAGCCACACGGGAACAGAGACACGGUCCAGACUCCUACGGGAGGCAGCAGUGGGGAAUUUUGGACAAUGGGCGCAAGCCUGAUCCAGCCAUACCGGGUGGGUGAAGAAGGCCUUCGGGUGGUAAAGCCCUUUUGUUGGGAAAGAAAAGCAGCAGGUUAAUACCCCGCUGUUCUGGCGGUACCCAAAGAAAAAGCACCGGCUAACUUCGU